rnacentral:ncRNA from 1 species
UGAUAGCGUUGAAGCGUGAGGUUGCUGCCGUAAGGCAGGUUUUCCGUGGAGCGAAUGUCAAGGCCGGU